AUUGAACGCUGGCGGCAGGCCUAACACAUGCAAGUCGAGCGGAUGAAGGGAGCUUGCUCCUGGAUUCAGCGGCGGACGGGUGAGUAAUGCCUAGGAAUCUGCCUGGUAGUGGGGGAUAACGUCCGGAAACGGGCGCUAAUACCGCAUACGUCCUGAGGGAGAAAGUGGGGGAUCUUCGGACCUCACGCUAUCAGAUGAGCCUAGGUGGGAUUAGCUAGUUGGUGGGGUAAAGGCCUACCAAGGCGACGAUCCGUAACUGGUCUGAGAGGAUGAUCAGUCACACUGGAACUGGGACACGGUCCAGACUCCUGCGGGAGGCAGCAGUGGGGAAUAUUGGACAAUGGGCGAAAGCCUGAUCCAGCCAUGCCGCGUGUGUGAAGAAGGUCUUCGGAUUGUAAAGCACUUUAAGUUGGGAGGAAAGGCAGUAAGUUAAUACCUUGCUGUUUUGACGGUACCAGCAGAAUAAGCACCGGCUAACUUCGUG
rnacentral:rRNA from 1 species